rnacentral:lncRNA from 1 species
CUAAAAUGUAGAAAAGUGAUUGACUUUUGCAUAUUAACCUUGUAUCCCACUUCCUUACUGUAACUGCUUAUUGGUUCCAGGGUUUUGUUGUUGUUGUUGUUGUUGAUUUUUUCAGAUUUUCUACAUAGACAAUUGCUAUGGUUUGGAUGUGAUUUAAUUAUGUCCCCCAAGGGUCCAUAUAUUAAAAUCUCAGGUCACCAAUAUCUGUGAGGGAUGUGAAACCUUUGGGAAGUGGGCCUAGUGGGAGGCCCUGGAAAAGGAAUUGUAGUAAGCAGGUCUUUUUCUUUAUCUCUGCUUUUCUGGCUCCUCCAACACAAACUCUUCCCAUUUCUGUCUAGCAUAUGCCAUCUGACACAGACCUUCACCAGAACAGAGCUAAUACAGUUACUGUGCCCUUAAGCCUCCAAAACUAAAAGCUAAAUAACUUUUGUUGUAGAAACACAAAACUGACUAAUACAACAAUCAUCUAAUCUGCAAACAAGGGUGAUUUUCUUUCUUACUUCCCAAUCAAUAUAUUCCUUUCUUGUAGGAAUGCAUUAGCUAAAACUUCCAGUUGAAAAGCAAUAUUGAGAG